rnacentral:rRNA from 1 species
UACGAAGGGGGCUAGCGUUGUUCGGAAUUACUGGGCGUAAAGCGCACGCAGGCGGUCCGUUAAAUUAGAAGUGAAAGCCCUGGGCUCAACCCGGGAAUUGCUUUUAAGACUGGCGGACUAGAAUCCAGAAGAGGGUAGCGGAAUUCCCAGUGUAGAGGUGAAAUUCGUAGAUAUUGGGAAGAACACCGGUGGCGAAGGCGGCUACCUGGUCUGGUAUUGACGCUCAGGUGCGAAAGCGUGGGGAGCAAACAGG